CCAGCCGGAGUAGGACCUGGGAGCGCUCCUGGGCGCGCGAGUAGCACCGGAUUGGCUGGGGGAACGCGGAGCGGGUGCGCGCGAGGCACGAAGGCAGCCUCAGCCGGGCCCCAGACAGAAGCAAUCCCCUGCCGAGCCUGGCGCCUGGCCCGUUGUCUGCCGGCUCGGCUGGCUCUUCCCGGCGGCCAAGCCCCUCUAAGGAGGGACCGCGAGGGGAGCGAGGCGGCUUCGCACGCCAGGCCUUUCCUCACAGCUCUCUGGAGCGGCCGGCCACCCCACUGAAUGCGCCGGGGAAACUGGAGGUGGCCGAGAAAGCUGCGUGGGUGACAGAGCAGCGGCUACUGUAACAGAGAGCCUGCGGUGGGCGAAGGUAUCCUGUCCCGCCACAUCUUAGCGGCUUGCUUCUCAGCGCUUUCUGAGGAAGGAUUUCCGCCUCACUGGGGCUUUAGGAUUCCAUCUCCAAUGUGACAUUUCUUCAAAAUUCAUCCUGGAAUCAAGUACUAUACCAAAGAAAAAUUUCUGGAAGUUUCAAAGGAAAACUAGAGAAGGGCAACUGGACAGUCCAAGGAUCACAGGCUGGACACAGGAAGAUUAGGAAUCUGAGGCACAGAGUUUAAAUGAUGUUACACAGAGACAACUUAUUUAAUCUCUACCACCUGUACUGAAGAUUUCACAUCAUCUGGUGAACUUCCUAGAAAGAUUACCUAACUAAAAAGUAUCCCUCAAAGUCCCAUGAUAUCCAAAGAAGAGCCAGAAAAGCCACCUCAGUCUCACCCUGAAAAUGUCCAUGAUGUUCAUCAGAAAUUAUGGCCCAUGGUCAUUUAACAUGCUAAUUCCUCAAGCCUGAACAGUCAUGUGAACAAGCCUAUGCUACCCUGUGAAAGGAUGGAGCACAUGGUUUACCUCCCUACCUCCCAGAUCAUCAGAGCCGACAAUAAGCUGAACUCCAGAAGCAGGAUGAACUAGCUGAUCAGCAACUGACUGUAGGUAUUGGAGCAAGGUAAAUUAAGACCAGUAGAAGAAUUUCCCAGAGAAGUCCAACCCAAAUUGUGACUUACCCAAUUGUGAGCUCAAUAAAUGGUUCUUGUUUUAAGCCACUAAGUUUUUAGAAUAUUUUGUU